GGGCCGGCCGGCGGGCGCUCUGUCCACGGGACGCCCGGGACACCGCUUCCUUCUGGCCUCGGGCAGGCUGACGGCCACCUGUACAUCUGCGUGGGCUCACCCGCAGUCCGGGGAGUUGGUUAUGUUUCGUGGAAGCGCAGUGCUUUGCAACCAUGUGCUGCAACGCUUUCUAUGAACUUUCAGCUUUCCUGUCUCAGCGUUCCCAAGCGUGAAAAUCAAGGAAAUCGCUUACUUUUAAAUCUUUUCACAGUCGCAGAUACGAAGAUGGUUAUCCACUGUAAGUGUAAAACAGGACCAGCCGUGGCACUGUGUGGUUUUGCUGUUCUGGACCCCUCCCUCUCUCCGAGUGUCCCUGCCGUGGGAUGCCGUCAUCCUUGCCAGCCAUGUCCCCGUGCCCUCCUUGGAGUGUUUGCCAACAUCGAUACCCGACUCAACGUUUGAACCGACUAGGGCACUUUAGACUUCCAGCAAAACUUACUAGAAACUCUUGGUCUACCAGAGGCAGAUCCUUCAGGAAAGACAGAGCAGUGAGAACUUCAGAGUCUUCCAAGCUGUAACUCCUGACAAUUACCAUCCUGCAUAAAGACUCUGUCAUCACAACCUGUAUCUGCUAUGUUCUUCCAAAACUUUUAUCAGUGAUCUAAAGAUAUCUGAAUCAUUUUCUUAAAACAAAUGAUGUAGUGCAACAUAACUUACACUUAAGCAGUAAGAGCAGCUCAUAUAACUCUGUGCUGAUGGUGACUUCUGAGUACUCUGGAUGCAAGCUGUAAGUCUUGACUGAAAACAUUUUGUGGGCACAAUAUUAAUGCUAAAAGGAAUGCCCAUCAGGACAAAGACAGUUUAAGCAAAGCACAUUUUAAAUUCACAAGGGAGACAGAUGUUGGAGCCAUUUGAGAAUCCAAGUCAAAAGCUGCCAGCAGUGGAGGAACUGCAUGAGAAUCCUUCAGCACUAAGGUGAGCACUAGUUUGCUAUCAGACUCAACGCCAGAUUUUCCUCAUCAGACCUUUGCCAAUAUGUGCAUUUUGUACAUGAUCUUGGUCUGUGUAUUGCAAAUCUGCAUUUCAGCUUCACAGAUGGUAGGUUUGGUCUUCUGGAAAUAUUACAACUUGUCUUGGAAAUUUUAGAUCUGGGCUUCCUUUCAAGACAAUCUCAAGUGUAUGUUCCAUUCAGAAAUGCAUCUAUUUCAUUAACUAGCUAAGCCUACAAUAUUAAAACUCAACUCCACUCUUCCUUCUCUGGCAGAAUGUGGCACUGUUGACAUUCUAUCAAAUCCAAAUGUCCUAGGAUUGUAAAAUGCAAACCAUAAGAAUAGUGCCUUGUAAUAAAUCUUUGUAGAGGUGAGGAAUUUGUACUAAAUUUCACCUAAAAUAAAAUGUACAUGUGCUAAAAUGAAACUACAUUUUAUGGGGAGAUAAUAUGUUUGCAACUACUUGUGAAGUUUCUAGUAGCAAUGCAAUCUUUAAUUCAUUUUUAUAAAACUGACACCCUCAUUCUUGGUGAUUCAGUAGAUUGGAAACGUUUUUCUUAAAAAAAGGUAUUUCAAUAAAUCUUAAGAUACAUUUUAAUCCUUUGAAGGUAAAUUGAAUAAUUCUUCCAUGAAAAUGUAUUACCUUGACAUGGAAUGGAAUGAGGAAAAGACAAUUCUAGUUGAAACUUUGUGUUAGGAUAUUGGACCUGUCUGAAAGUAUAUAAUUAAGUUAUUUUUCUUGCUCUUGCUGUUUUAUUGAGAAAAAGAGUUUCAAGCUAAUACUUCCAUACAGUUUGGGUUUCACAUUUGAUAAUUCAGUCAUUGCUAAGAGUUCUUCCUAAUAGACAGCACCAUGCUCACACUUUAACCUGCUGCCCAAGGUUAAGGGGGUUGGACCUUUAAAGGUCGCCUCCAACCCAAACUAUUCUAUGGUUUUGUGAUUCUAAGACUAAGACUAAUCUGUCACAGACUAGCCUAGACUGCAAAUGUCCAGUAAAUAUAAAGAAUACAGACAUCACAGUAAUUUUAAAGGAAAAUUGCACAUGCUGGAAAGGAACUAAAUAAUGAAACAUAUGAAGUACAUCAAAUUUGUUUAGGGAACAAAAUAACAUUUCCUGGUGGCAAAGGAGGAAAAACAUUUAGGAGAAAUGUCACUUGCAUUGUUCAUUGUAAUAAAAAAAACCCAAAUAAUCCUUCAAUAUUUUUUAAGAUCUUCUAUCACAUUUCAGGUAUCACUUAUAACUGAAAAUUACAAUAAUUUAUGAUGACAUUAUAUAUCCAUAUAUAUCCAUAUUUUAAUUUUUUCCC